GCGCAGCAGGCGAGAAUCCUUCGCAAUGCGGGAAACCGCGACGAGGGGACUCCCAGUGCCUACGCUCAGCGUAGGCUGUUCCCGAGCCUAGAAAGCUCGGGGAGUAAGGGCUGGGUAAGACGGGUGCCAGCCGCCGCGGUAAUACCCGCAGCCCGAGUGGUGGCCACUAUUAUUGGGCCUAAAGCGUCCGUAGCCGGCCCGGUAAAUGCCUGGGUAAAUCGUGAGGCCUAACCUCACGAAUUCCGGGUAGACUGCCGGGCUAGGGACCGGAGGAGGGAGAGGGGUACUCCAGGGGUAGGGGUGAAAUCCUGUAAUCCCUGGAGGACCACCGGUGGCGAAGGCGCUCUCCUAGGACGGGUCCGACGGUGAGGGGACG
rnacentral:rRNA from 1 species